AUCCCCCUAUCCCUUGUCCUUCUUUCUUUUCCCUUUCUAUUUUACUCUCAUUUUUCCUUUUCCUUUCUCAUUCUUCGUCAUUCGCUUUUGCUCACAUUUUUAUCUUAUUUAUUGCCUUUUGCCUUCUCUUUCAGGUUCUCUUUCACGUUCCCUCCUUCUCCCGCACUUCACUUUCACUUUCUCCACCUCUGGGGUGCACAGCCUGCCCUUCCAGAGCCUGGCGUCUUCCUCACUUCCCCAGGUCUUUCUGCAUAUCCUUCAGUGGAGGUUUUGGUUCCUGUAAAUGCUACGCGUCGAUGAGCAUAUGUUUUUGUUUUUGUUUUUCUCUUUUCCCUUCUUUUUCUUCCCCCUUCCCUAGUCUGUGCCUCCCCUCCUCUUUCCCUCUCUCCCUUCUCCCUGGAUAGCUUUCUCUCCCCGUCCCCCCCUCCUUCCAGCUGCUUGAACAUCUCAAUUGUACCAUGUCGGCAGAUCCUCGCUGACCUGACAUUUUAUCCUAGAGCUCUCAGAUGCUGCCGAGGGAGAAAACUGGAUGUACCGAAGGGCAUGAUGGCUGGAAGCCGGAGAUGAGAAAUACUUGGAACACUGCCUGUGAGCCAGGAAAGCAGCUGGAAGCUGAGGAUGGGGACAGAAGUGGCCAGAGGAGCAGUUCUGCCCCUGAGGGUGCCAUUCUGCAGCUCUGGCCUCGGAACCUGGAGGCAGUGGGAACCUGUGGGGGAAUUGCAGCGAAGGUGGAGGAAUGUGGGAGAAAGUUCCAAAGAGGGAUGGCAAAGAGCAACUGGGUCUAACUUGUCCUGGAUAUGGAAGGUGGGGAGUAGGGGCACUGGGGAGUGGGAAAGUUGUCUGUUCCUGGCGAACGAGUCAUCCGAGGCCGAUGGAAGCACAGCGUGUUGCUGAAUGGAAAGAAUGAUGCUGAAUUUGGACAAAGGAGAUCUGUGGAGGUUGGAACGAUGAGUCGCAAAUCCUUGGAUGAGCAGAAUGGCAAGCAAAAUGCAAGGUUCAUUAGGAUUGUUAUAGAGAUUGCCAUUGUGUUCACAUCGACAAGAUUUGCCCUGUUUUCUCUUUGUGUGGUUAAGGUUGGAAUGAAGCUGGAAUGCUCGGAAGGUCCAGUGUCCAGGUUCUGACAGGUUCUCUCAGACCCAGCCCAUUACCUGACAAUCUUAGUCACCUGAGUUGGGGGGUGGGCAGUUGGCAGGAUUCUCGCCGAAAUGUCUUUCUUGUGAUUUGUCCAGCAAUUCCUUCCCUCAGCCAAACCAGAAAAACCACUGAAUCUGAGGUAUUUGGAGUGGGUAGAUGGUGUUCUGGAUCCUUUAAAGGCAAAUGGCUAUAAAAUGAAAUGAUCCCCUUAAAAGUUCACUUCGUCCUUGAAGUGUGUGUGUGUGUGUGUGUGUGUGUGUGUGUGUGUGUGUGUGUGUAGGGGAGGAGGUCCUGUAAGGCUCUCACUUUUUCCAAAUGAACUUCCCCAACUUCAUUAGGAGCAAGUGCAAACAGAUGGGGAGGGCGUAUUUCAUAAUAGCAACAGCCUCCUCACCACUGACCACCAUGAGAAAAAC